AUACGGAGGGUGCAAGCGUUAAUCGGAAUUACUGGGCGUAAAGCGCGCGUAGGCGGUUUAGUCAGUCAGAUGUGAAAGCCCCGGGCUCAACCUGGGAACUGCAUUUGAUACUGCUGAACUAGAGUAUGGUAGAGGGAAGUGGAAUUCCGGGUGUAGCGGUGAAAUGCGUAGAUAUCCGGAGGAACACCAGUGGCGAAGGCGACUUCCUGGACCAAUACUGACGCUGAGGUGCGAAAGCGUGGGUAGCAAACAGAAUUAGAAACCCCUGUAGUCC
rnacentral:rRNA from 1 species